rnacentral:tRNA from 1 species
GUCAAUUAGCUCAGCUAGCUAGUGCGUCCCGCUAGGAAGCGGGAAGUUCAUCGGUUCGACUCCGUUAUCCUCCA